CCCAAACAAAACGAGUUGAAUAGCCAACGUCAAUAUCUCCAAAAUAUUUCAAAAAGGAAGACAAAAAUUAUGUAGAAAAUAUUCAAAUAAGCAUCAUCUAAUUUUUUAUAACUAAAACUUCUCUAACUAAAAAGAAUUCGACGUUCCUUAAAAUUUUUAAUGUCUUCAAUGAUAGCAUCAAUGCUCAGACUUUCAUCUAAUUUCUCUUUCAAUAAACAACAUUAAUGCGUCUGAGAGGAAAGCAUCCUCCAUUUUAAAGGGGGAGGUUUUAUAGAAACCCCCCUAUCUUUUUUUUCCCCAAAAUUUUGGGGGAGCCGUGCCCCACCUGGACUGUAUUUAGAUCCGCCCCUCCAUAUAUUCAUCAAUCUAGUUGUGAUUAUCUUUCAAUGUCCACAAUCACCAUAAUCUAAUGCGUAUGUGAUUAGCAUUGGAUUUUAACAAAUAUCUAAUAUCUCGUUAAUUACGUGAACGUAUACCUGCAUAAUUUCUAAUGAAUUAAAUUUAUACAUAAUAAUGGAUUUCACUCAAAAAAUAUUUCAAAAUAUUAGUAGGAUUAUAACUGCACAUGCAUGAUAUAGGUCAGGGAGGGAGGACUUUGAUCUAUAACAUAGUUUUACUUCGUCAGGAAAGAAAUAUUGCAGAAAAAUAUCGCCUUUUCAACGAGGACAUGCUGUACAAGUUAAGAAUGCAGCAUUUCUAUUUAUUCACUGACAGCCUUUGGCACCAGGCUGCAGUUUGUUGUCAGUAAGAAUAGUCACGAAAAAAAAAGUACAGAACCCGAGGGAAACAUGUAAUGAUAUAUCAUUGUGUUAAAGAGGUUGGAAAGUAGAGAGAUUAAGAUAACAGUCAUAUUGGACUGGCCUAAAUGCCAAUUAUUUGAACAUAUGAAGGCUACAAAAAUGGUGAUAUAUAAUAGAAUCUCAUGUCAAUUGUCAGAAAUAAGAUGGUUCUUCAGUAAGUUUGGAUCAACAGAAUGUGACAAGAUCAUUUAGGGCACCAUAAGUGCUUGUUAGACAGGCGGCGGGCCAUGUUCCUAUUAUCUGUUUUGGUGUAGUUUUUCAUGUAUAUAAAUUAUUGUCCCAAGAGAUCAUCUCAGUGGGUUCAAGUCUGGUUAGGCUGCCUUUGUACAUGGACGAUGCCAUGGUAUAUGGAGAGGCUGGUUUUUGCUAGUGUGCAUGAACCAGAAGUAUAAAAAAUUCCUAAGAAGGAAAGAGGUAAAAAGUUACAACUUUAGUUUUGUUCAUGAGAAUAAUCCAAAUGGAUUAAGUGACUCAAGUAAUUAACAAAGCAGUUAGAGGGGAAAUAAAAGGUUGAAAAUAUCUGUUGAGGUUACACACUGAGUUUGAAGUAGUAGACAACCAUUUGUUGCAGUAUGGUAGAAAGUUGAGUUUUAUAUGAUAGAAAGUAGAAGAUUUCCAUAUAACAUGUUAUCUUUACAAAAUUAACCACAUUCAUUUAGUUUUCAUAAAAAGUGCUAAUCGCUCAUUUUGCUGAUCUUAUGGGAUCUUAUCUACACCUUUGAUUUUACAUAAGUAAAUUUGGGAUAAAUACACACUUGUUAACUACAGGUGUAAAAGACAUACUGAUUCAUGACAAAUUCAAGAAAUAUCUCUCUUCCAGAUAAAAUUUUAGAUUAAAAUUUUUAUCUAAUCUUAUCUGGAAGAGAUAUAUUUCUUGAAUUUUUCCUUCAUCACAUAUAGCUUCAUCCUCUUUGAGAUGCUCCUCGAUGUUGUACGAAAUUUUGACAAUAUAAUAGGUAUGCUUUUCAUUGUUGUAUGAUAAGAUCCUAAAUUGGAGUAGGUGCCUAUAAUCUUAUAAAGGAAUCCCUUAAACUUCACAUGUUAAGAAUUUGUUUUAAAUUAGCUUGAAUGAAGAUUGAUGCUGAGGUUUGAGUAAGAUUAAUGCAGUUAGUUAAUUGAAUCUGGAGAAAAUCAUUUCCCAGGACUGUCUCAAUAGCUCUUAGAAUGGAAGUACUAAUACAGUUUGAAACCAGGUUUCAUUCUAGUAAAAGUAUUCCUUCUCAAAAGCUACAGUGUAUGUAUUUCUUUGAGAUAUUCAUGUUCCAAUAAGUUGGUAUAAUUGAAAGAGUUGCGUGGGAUAUUGGAGAACCAGGGACAUGGUUUAAUUUAUAAACUAACAAAGAUAAGUCCGCAUCCUUUUGCUUUUGUAAAAAGUAGCUUAAGACAAGGAAACUUUUAACUGGAUGGAGUGUAGUUGUCACGGUUGUCCUUUUUUCUUGAUUGAUUUUCUUUGCUGCUGUCUUUCAGGAACAAUCAACGUGUUUGAGCUGGCAUGUAUUAGGGUGCAAAUGAUCAAGUAAUUAGAAAUUAAUUCAAAAUGGUAAUGCAAGAUGCAAGUACCGUAAUGAACAUGGCUGCUUCUGUCGUGAUUGUUAUAUUCCAAGUAGCACUAUAACUGAUUGUCCGAGUGGUGAAUAUUUUUACUCUUAGCAUGUUAAUUGAUAUUCUCCUGGUGUUACUUAUGCAUGAACUUUCCUUGUUCACUUAGGAUGUUUAUGCUUAUUGUAUACCUUUUUAACUUUUUUACUGAUAUACUGAUGUUGCUGUAUAAUGUGCUUGUAUUGGCGGAAUGUGUCUCUGCCACAGCCUGGACACUGUUUUUUCCUCUUAAUUUUAAAAUUUCUAUAUUGGUCCUUGCAUUUGUAAGGAGAAAGUCACCCCCUUCUCCCCUCUCUGUCCAUAUUAGUUUCAAUAAAUUGGUAAGUGAGAGAGUUGUGUGAGAUAUUGGAGAAAGAGGGACAUGGUUUAUAAACUAGCCAAUAAGAGUCUUCAUCCUACUGCUUUUCUAAAAAAUACUUUUAGAUAAGGGAACUUUUAACUCGUUGGUCUUGGUUCUCUUUUUUUGUUUAUUGUUUUUGUCUGACGCAGUGUUUCUCUCAUUCUAUGAAAGUUUGGAGUAUCUUCCUCUUCAUGACACCAUCUGUUUCCUAUGCUGUGCCAUGUACAAAGCUCAAGCAGGUCAUGGAUGUAACAGAACUAGUACGAGAGUUUACUCUGCAAUUCGUGAAGUAUGGUUGCUUAGAGCUGUCAUGAUUUGGUUCAGCAUUAACAAGUGUUCCUGAUAUUUUCAGUAUGUCAUGAUGCGGACUUUUCAAUAGUAAUAUAAUGCAUCCAGAGAUGUCAUCCUAAGCAUCAUCUUAACCUUGAGUUGAGAUAUAAUAUUACUUUCAUACUUCUUUGUCCCCUCGUUACUAGUAGAAAGGCACGAAAAUCAACUAUCUGUGCAACAGUAGCGGAGGAUUCGCAUGCAGAAAGAGGAUGACCUUUGUUACUUUGCCUGGCUUUCUAUUCCCUUCCCUUCUUUUUCCAUUUUAGCAGAAUGUAGAGGGGUUGGUUUUUCACUGAUGCCUAAACAUAGAGUUACCUUCAUCCAUGAAAGUGAAGGGCUGGCUUGUUAUGCCUGGAUCAAGGAGGCAUGCAAAAUCUCAGACCUCCAAAGGUCUACUGGAGAAGGAUUUUGAGCAGUUUGCAGAUUGUCUUCAUCAGUUAAGUUACCAUCUGCUUAAAAAACUUGGGGCACAAAUACAAUUUUAAGACGUCUAUAACGAAUAAGGACACCAAGGACCUUAAAGAAGCAGAAGAGAAAUUUGUUGGUUCUUAUCAUGUGCUUGCCCUCAGAGUCUACCAUGAGGUGUGAAGGAUGAUGAUUGAUGGAAAGAGCAGGAGAAUUACUUGGAGGUGAUGGAUUUGAUCCCCUAUAUGAUUUCUUCGGUUGAUUGUCUACUACAUCGACGCUGGAGUGGGAGACGCAGCCCAUAGAAAAUGGAAGGAUAGAGAAUCUCUCCAUUGUUACAUUCAUGUAUGAUAGGAGGAGGAAAAUGAAGAUGUUUAUUUAGAGUUUGAUUGAAGGUAGAGGAUAAGGAAGAGUUGGUUUGGGGAUGAGGGGUUUGUUAUAUAUUGGACAUAGAGAAUGCUUUAAUGGCAAGUUUGAAUGAUACUUUCUUGA